rnacentral:lncRNA from 1 species
CGCUGUGACUGGAGGCCGAGUGCUAAACUGUGUGGGGCACGGAUGGGAUCCAGCUGUUAGUCGCUUUGUGUUAUUCUUGGAAAAUUUCGCACCACUUGUGAAUUCCUUGAGCCUGGGCAUUGCAAACCCACUUCUGUUGGGCCCAUCUCCUUUGCACUUUGCUCAGAUUAAGACUCAGUUGGCGCUUCAGCAGCUGAAUGCCGUUGCCUCUCAUGGUUCAACACCACCUUAUACUUUAUUAAAUCAGGCAUUCUUGAAAGUAGCCAUGUCGAGACCCAGGUUUAAUCCUCGAGGGACCUUUCCACUUCAAAGGCCACGAGCACCUAAUCCUCCUGGGAUGAGGCCUCCAGGACCAUUUGUGAGGCCUGGAUCUAUGGGUCUUCCAAGAUUUUACCCAGCAGGGAGAGCCCGUGGAAUUCCACACAGAUUUCCUGGCCACGGAUCUUAUCAGAACAUGGGACCACAGAGAAUGAAUGUUCAGGUAACUCAACAUCGAACUGAUCCAAGAUUAACCAAAGAGAAAUUGGAUUUUCCUGAAGCACAACAAAAGAAGGGGAAGCCUCACGGUAGUCGAUGGGAUGAUGAGCCUCAUAUAACUCCACCAGUAGAAGUGAAACAGAGUUCUGUAACCCAGGUUACAGAGCAGAGUCCUAAAGUACAGAGCCGCUAUACAAAAGAAAGUGCUUCAAGUAUUUUAGCAAGUUUUGGAUUAUCAAAUGAAGACCUAGAAGAACUAAGUCGUUAUCCCGAUGAACAGCUAACUCCUGAAAAUAUGCCAUUAAUAUUGAGGGAUAUAAGAAUGCGAAAAAUGGGCCGCCGAUUACCUAAUUUACCUUCUCACAGCAGAAAUAAGGAAACACUUAGUAAUGAAACAGUUUCAAGUAAUGUGAUUGAUUAUGGGCAUGCAAGCAAAUAUGGUUAUACAGAAGAUCCACUUGAAGUACGUAUUUAUGAUCCUGAAAUUCCAACUGAUGAAGUCAAGAAUGAAUUUCAGUCUCAGCAGAGCAUUUCUGCAACUGUUUCCACUCCAAAUGUGAUAUGUAAUUCUGUGUUUCCUGGUGAAGAUGUAUUUCGUCAGAUGGACUUCCCUGGUGAGUCCUCCAGUCAGUCUUUUUUCCCAGUUGAGAGUGGAACCAAGAUGUCAGGCUUACACAUUUCAGGACAGUCAGUCCUUGAACCUGUAAAAUCCAUCAGCCAGUCUAUUAGCCAAACAGUUAGCCAGACAACAAGCCAGUCUCUGAAUCGUCCAUCUAUGAACCAGCCACCCUUUUCAUCUGAAUUAAUUUCAGCUUUAAGCCAACAAGAGCGGAUCCCACAGAAGUCUGUGAUCAGUUCAGCUGAUACACAUGGUGGACCUAGAGGAAGUAAAAAGAGUUAC